CCUACGGGCGGCAGCAGUGGGGAAUAUUGGGCAAUGGGCGCAAGCCUGACGCAGCAACGCCGCGUGAAGGAAGAAGGCUUUCGGGUUGUAAACUUCUUUCAAGAGGGAAGAGCAGAAGACGGUAUCUCUUGAAUAAGCCACGGCUAACUACGUGCCAGCAGCCGCGGUAAUACGUAGGUGGCAAGCGUUGUCCGGAUUUACUGGGGGUAAAGGGCGUGUAGCCGGGCUGCCAAGGCAGAUGUGAAAUCCCGUGGCUCAACCACGGAACUGCAGUUGAAACUGUCGGUCGUGAGUGUCGGAGAGGCAGGCGGAAGUGCUAGGGGAGGGGUGAAAGGCGGAGGUAUUAGGAGGAAGACCAGGGGGGGAGGCGGACUGCUGGACGACAACUGACGGUGGGGCGGGAAAGGGGGGGGAGGAAACAGGAUUAGAUACCCCUGUAGUC
rnacentral:rRNA from 1 species